rnacentral:rRNA from 1 species
CCUACGGGAGGCAGCAGUGAGGAAUAUUGGUCAAUGGGCGAGAGCCUGAACCAGCCAAGUCGCGUGAGGGAGUACUGCCCUAUGGGUUGUAAACCUCUUUUGUCGGGGAGCAAAAGCCGGACGUGUCCGGCUGUGAGAGUACCCGAAGAAAAAGCAUCGGCUAACUCCGUGCCAGCAGCCGCAGUAAUACGGAGGAUGCGAGCGUUAUCCGGAUUUAUUGGGUUUAAAGGGUGCGCAGGCGGAUUUUUAAGUCAGCGGUAAAAUCGUGGGGCUCAACCCCAUCCAGCCGUUGAAACUGGGGAUCUAGAGUGUGCGAGAGGUAUGCGGAAUGCGUGGUGUAGCGGUGAAAUGCAUAGAUAUCACGCAGAACCCCGAUUGCGAAGGCAGCAUACCGGUGCACAACUGACGCUCAGGCACGAAAGCGUGGGUAUCGAACAGGAUUAGAUACCCCUGUAGUC